AUUGAACGCUGGCGGCGUGCCUAACACAUGCAAGUCGAGCGGUAACAGGUGUAGCAAUACAUGCUGACGAGCGGCGAACGGGUGAGUAAUGCUUCGGAAUCUGCCCAUGUAGUGGGGAAUAACCAGCCGAAAGGUUGGCUAAUACCGCAUACGACCUACGGGUGAAAGCAGGGGAUCGCAAGACCUUGCGCUAUUGGAUGAGCCGAAGUCGGAUUAGCUUGUUGGUAGGGUAACGGCCUACCAAGGCGACGAUCCGUAGCUGGUCUGAGAGGACGACCAGCCACACUGGGACUGAGACACGGCCCAGACUCCUACGGGAGGCAGCAGUGGGAAUNUUGGACAAUGGGGGCAACCCUGAUCCAGCGACGCCGCGUGUGUGAAGAAGGCCUGCGGGUUGUAAAGCACUUUUAGUGGGGAUGAAAAGCACAUGGCUAAUAUCCGUGUGUCUUGACCUAACCCAAAGAAAAAGCACCGGCUAACUCUGUGCCAGC
rnacentral:rRNA from 1 species